rnacentral:rRNA from 2 species
CGCGCGCAGUGCGGUCCUUUAAGUCUGAUGUGAAAGCCCACCGCUCAUUCCGUGGAGGGUCAUUGGACACUGGGGCACUUGAGUGCAGAAGAGGAAAGCGGAAUUCCACGUGUAGCGGUGAAAUGCGUAGAGAUGUGGAGGAACACCAGUGGCGAAGGCGGCUUUCUGGUCUGUAACUGACGCUGAGGCGCGAAAGCGUGGGGAGCAAACAGGAUUAGAUACCCUGGUAGUCCACGCCGUAAACGAUGAGUGCUAAGUGUUGGAGGGUUUCCGCCCUUUAGUGCUGCAGCUAACGCAUUACUCACUCCGCCUGGAGAGUACGGCCGCAAGGCUGACACUCAAAGGAAUUGACGGGGGCCCGCACAAGCGGUGGAGCAUGUGGUUUAUUUCAACGCAACGCGAAUAACCUUACCAGGUCUUGACCUCCUCUGACACUCCUAGAGAUAGGACUCUCCCUUUCGGGAGACAGA